rnacentral:lncRNA from 1 species
UACCACUUGACUUUCUUCGCAACUUUUGCUUCCAAUCUUGUUCAUGACGACAUUGCCUCCGUUAUCGAUCUCCUUCAGGUUGCUAUGCAACUUAUCAAAUUCGCCAACAAAUAGGUGUUGCGAGUAUCUGUUAAAGAAGCUUCGUCGACUAGCACAGAAGCCUUGUAUGACAACAUCCCAUGUCAUAUCAUUCUUGACUACCUAUAAUCAUCAUCAACAAAUGACCCUCCCAUAGGUUCAUCAACUGACCCAAUCUUGGCAUUCUUCGUCCAUCUUUGUAGAAUGCAUUUCUCCAGUAAAAGCAAAUUUUUUUUUUCUUCAAAUAGCUAAGUAUAUGUCGACACGGAUAACCUUUAAAUUCAAACAUCCCACAUCGGCAUGUGAUAAAAUCCGAAUUUGUGAAAUAGGUAAGUAGAUGUUGCCGUUCGAAAGUCUUCCCCGGCUCAAAUUGCUUCACCCCAUAUACUUUAGCAUC